rnacentral:rRNA from 1 species
AACGCUAGCUACAGGCUUAACACAUGCAAGUCGAGGGGCAGCACGGGAGUAGCAAUACAACUGGUGGCGACCGGCGCACGGGUGAGUAACGCGUAUGCAACCUACCUAUCAGAGGGGAAUAACCCGGCGAAAGUCGGACUAAUACCGCAUAAAACAGGGACACCGCAUGGUGAUAUUUGUUAAAGAAAUUCGCUGAUAGAUGGGCAUGCGUUCCAUUAGGUAGUUGGUGAGGUAACGGCUCACCAAGCCGACGAUGGAUAGGGGAACUGAGAGGUUGGUCCCCCACACUGGUACUGAGACACGGACCAGACUCCUACGGGAGGCAGCAGUGAGGAAUAUUGGUCAAUGGGCGGGAGCCUGAACCAGCCAAGUCGCGUGAAGGAAGAAGGAUCUAUGGUUCGUAAACUUCUUUUGCAGGGGAAUAAAGUGCAGGACGUGUCCUGUUUUGUAUGUACCCUGAGAAUAAGGAUCGGCUAACUCCGUACCAGCAGCCGCGGUAAUACGGAGGAUCCGAGCGUUAUCCGGAUUUAUUGGGUUUAAAGGGUGCGUAGGCGGGAGCGGAAGUCAGCUGUGAAAUUUUAUGGCUCAACCAUAAACUUGCAGUUGAAACUCCGUUUCUUGAGUACACAUGAGGUGGGCGGAAUUUGUGGUGUAGCGGUGAAAUGCUUAGAUAUCACGAAGAACUCCGAUUG